rnacentral:misc_RNA from 1 species
UUGAUUCAAUUUUUGUUUGUACUCAGAUUACACCGUGAGCAGGGUUUAAAUGGUCCUCUGGCGGGCGCUCUCCAGCGUGGGCCGGCGGCGCGUGGGCGCCCGGCCCGCCAAAGCAACAGAGAUAAGUUCACAAAGGGUGGGAGUAGGCGCCCAGAGGGCACCGGUACUCGGUAAUGAUCCUUCCGCAGGUUCACCUACGGAAA